ensembl:lncRNA
AAGUAUGUACGAUUAAAUAAUCAGUUUAUAUAUGUUCAGUCAAUUUGGUCAGAAUCUAUUUUUCUACUUAUACAUUUUACCUCUUAAAAAUGACCUUCAAGUUACAAUAUCUCAGGCCCAGAAAGUCAGAUUCUAAUGAGGUAAAGUUCUUCUGGUUCCGUUUUAUCAGAGGGUCUACAUCAUCAGAGAAUGGUCCUUGGUGAUGCUACAGACCACAACUGUAGCUGAAAACAUGAGCAUGUUCAUCCUUUCUGUAUUUUUGCACGAUAGCAUAAUGACUGUUUGAAAAGUAACAGUCCAUGGUAGAUGGAGUGAACAUUACAGUAGAACAUGCUGGCCCAUGUUGUUGCUAAUGUUCUCGCUAAUGUAAAGAUGCUGGCCCAUGUUGUAGCUAAUGCUUCCCACAGUUGUGUUAAGUUGACUGGAUGUCCUUUUGGUUGUGGACCGUUCCUGAUACACAUGGGAAACUGUUGAGUCUGAAAAACUCAGUUUUUGACACAAACUGGUUUUGUAUGCAUUAACUAAAAAGAGGACAGGCUAUGUGAGGUGUUGAACCUCAUUAAGCUGUGUUCAUCAUGAUGAACAAGGAGUCUUUCCUUGACAAAUGGAUGUCUAUCUCAUAUUUAAAAUAAUCCACAAUUAAAUUAAAUCUAGUCAGUUAUGCGUGUGGUGAGAAGGGCCUGUAGGUUUUUCUGACUAAGUGACCUGAUCAGGAAAAACACUGUUCCUGGUCAGGUCAUGUGACAACUCCUGGCACUACUGAUGAGCCAUAGAUUGACCUCUGACCUCAGAGUCAUCAGCCCCUCCCCCAUGACAUGAUGAUGUAAAUCCAGAUCCCUCAGAGUUCAUAUAUACUUAUAUUCUGCUGUUGACUUGUUGUCUCGUGUGGAGCAGCUGAGUUCAUAUCUCCACCCUCAGUAUGACGAGAAAACUCUCCCUUCUGCUGCUCUCUCUCUGUCUGACCUGUUUAAAUGGUCAGAGUAUGGAGUCCAUUCCCUCUGGUCCAGUCCUGAAAAAGCCUGGAGAAACUCUUACCCUUUCCUGUAAGGGAUCUGGGUACACACAAUGUGGAAACUAUGGUAUGAGCUGGAUAAGACAACCUGCAGGACAAUCACUGGAAUGGAUUGGGUAUACUGGUACAUACACAAAGAGUGUUGAAGGGCGUUGAAUACCAUCUGCAUGGUGUAUCUGAAGCUGUCUGUUCUGAGAGCAGAGGACUCUGCUGUGUAUUACUGUGCAAGACAGACACAGUGGUGUGAGUGAGUGGAGGAUCUGUACAAAAACACCUCAGAGAAUCUAACUGGCAGCAGAGUCAACAGAGGGCAGUAGAGCAUCAGUACAACAGAGUCAACAGAGGGCAGUAGAGCAUCAGUACAACAGAGUCAACAGAGGGCAGAUGAGCAUCACUACAACAGAGUCAACAGAGGGCAGUAGAGCAUCAGUACAACAGAGUCAACAGAGGGCAGUAGAGCAUCAGUACAACAGAGUCAACAGAGGGCAGUAGAGCAUCACUACAACAGAGUCAACAGAGGGCAGUAGAGCAUCAGUACAACAGAGUCAACAGAGAGCAGUAGAGCAUCAGUACCGCAGAGUCAACAGAGGGCAGUAGAGCAUCAGUACAACAGAGUCAACAGAGGGCAGUAGAGCAUCAGUACCGCAGAGUCAACAGAGGGCAGUAGAGCAUCAGUACAACAGAGUCAACAGAGGGCAGUAGAGCAUCAGUACAACAGAGUCAACAGAGGGCAGUAGAGCAUCAGUGCAACAGAGUCAACAGAGGGCAGUAGAGCAUCAGUACAACAGAGUCAACAGAGGGCAGUAGAGCAUCAGUACAACAGAGUCAACAGAGGGCAGUAGAGCAUCAGUACAGCAGAGUCAACAAAGGGCAGUAGAGCAUCAGUACAGCAGAGUCAACAGAGGGCAGUAGAGCAUCAGUACAGCAGAGUCAACAGAGGGCAGUAGAGCAUCAGUACAACAGAGUCAACAGAGGGCAGUAGAGCAUCAGUAUAACAGAGUCAACAGUGGGCAGUAGAGCAUCAGUACAACAGAGUCAACAGAGGGCAGUAGAGCAUCAGUACAACAGAGUCAACAGAGGGCAGUAGAGCAUCAGUACCGCAGAGUCAACAGAGGGCAGUAGAGCAUCAGUACAGCAGAGUCAACAGAGGGCAGUAGAGCAUCAGUACAACAGAGUCAACAGAGGGCAGUAGAGCACCAGUACAACAUAGUCAUGUCUACUGAAGUAUAAAAUUCCCCUAAGAACCAAAAUAACAGAACUACUUGUACAUCAACACAAUGUACACAUUUCCCUGACGAAAGAUAUAAAGUAAAGAGGAAUCACAUAAAGGCCUACAUAGCUGUGUUCAUUCAUGAAGAACACUUUGACUGUCCUUGAUAGCUUGAUCCCUAAUC